rnacentral:rRNA from 1 species
GACAGAGGUGCCGAGCGUUAGGCGGAAUCACUUGACUUAAAGCGUGUGUAGGCGGACCGUUAAGUGUCUUGUGAAAUCCCCCGGCUCAACCGGGGAAUUGCUGGGCAUACUGGCGGUCUUGAGCAGUCUAGGGGCAGAUGGAACAAGUGGUGGAGCGGUGAAAUGCGUAGAUAUCACUUGGAACGCCAAAGGUGAAGACAGUCUUCUGGGGACUUGCUGACGCUGAGACACGAAAGCCAGGGGAGCGAACGGG